GACGAACGCUGGCGGCGUGCCUAAUACAUGCAAGUCGAACGCAUUUUCUUUCACCGUAGCUUGCUACACCGAAAGAAAAUGAGUGGCGAACGGGUGAGUAACACGUGGGUAACCUGCCCAUCAGCGGGGGAUAACACUGGGAAACAGGUGCUAAUACCGCAUAAUUCCAUUUACUGCAUGGUAGAUGGAUGAAAGGCGCUUUUGCGUCACUGAUGGAUGGACCCGCGGUGCAUUAGCUAGUUGGUGGGGUAACGGCCUACCAAGGCUGCGAUGCAUAGCCGACCUGGGAGGGUGAUCGGCCACACUGGGACUGAGACACGGCCCAGACUCCUACGGGAGGCAGCAGUAGGGAAUCUUCGGCAAUGGACGCAAGUCUGACCGAGCAACGCCGCGUGAGUGAAGAAGGUUUUCGGAUCGUAAAACUCUGUUGUUAGAAAAGAACAAGGAUGAGAGUGGAAAGUUCAUCCCUUGACGGUAUCUAACCAGAAAGCCACGACUAACUACGUG
rnacentral:rRNA from 1 species